ACCUGGCUGGCUCAGUUGGUAGAGUGCAGGACUCUUGAUCUUGAAGUUGUGAGUUCAAGCCUUGUGAUGGGUG
rnacentral:tRNA from 1 species